AUUCUAGGUAGAAUUAUGAUAAUGACAUUGUCUGCCUAUGUGUCUUGACCAAAUUACGUGCCAGCAGUCGCGGUAAUACGUAGAAGACUAGUGUUAUUCAUGUUUAAUCGGUUUAAAGGGUACCUAGACGGUAGAGAAAGCUUUCAAAAAAAAGGACUAAUUUACUAGAGUUACUUACGAGGGGGUUUUAAAGUACUGCAGGUGUAGAGAUGAAAUUCUAUAAUACCUAUUUUCAAAAAAUUUAUGGCACAGGUAUAGGCGAAGGCAUCCCCCUAUGUGAUAACUGACGUUGAGGGACGAAGGCUUCGUACAACAAACAGGAUUAGAUACCCUAGUAGUUGAAGCAGAAAAUGAUGAAUGUCAUAGAUUAGAUGUAUAAGUUUAUUCUAUAAAUUAAAGUGUAAGCAUUCCACCUCAUGAGUAAUUUGGCAACAUUGGAACUGAAAUCAUUAGACCGUUUCUGAAACCAGUAGUGAAGUAUGUUGUUUAAUUUGAUAACCCGCAAAAAACCUUACCACAACUUGAAUAUAUAUAUUAUUUAUCUUUUAUUAAUAAGAUUAAUAAAGAGGCAAUAAGAUAUAUUUACAAGCGUUGCACGGCUGUCUUCAGUUAAUGUCGUGAGAUUUUGGUUAGUUCCAUAAAAUUAACGUAAACCCUUAC
rnacentral:rRNA from 1 species